GCUCCCCCUCGCGUCCGCCGACUUCUCUCUCUUCCAGAACGCCGUCGCCGUCUACAUCGCCACCGGAAGCGCCAUCUCCAGCUCCACCUAUAAGCCGACCGCUCCGCUUCUCUCUCUCCGUCGCGUCCCCGAUCUCCGCACCCAUUGCCACGACCCUUCUCUCCACGGAAUCGUUCUUGGAAUGGAGGAUGCGGUGGAAGAGACCGGAUCUCCCGGUCACCCGGCUGUUCUUCGCAUCACGCCUCUCCCAGAUGGACGGAUGAGAUGCAUCUUGAAGUGAUUAGAUCAAAGGAACGAGGAGGAUGGGCAGACGGAGGGCUUCGCAGUUGCUUGCAGGGUAUCGACAAUUUCUCCUCGGGCGACCAACCCCAUCCUCCCAUGAACAAUCCAUUUCAGGAUCCUAUUGGAAGCUGAAUACUUGGAGACCUUGUUGUAUGUUCCGAGUUUCUGUUGGAACACCUCAAGCUUCUAACUAUCUAAAUCUAGGCAAAACAUAUGCAAUCAAGCAGAGAUCAUUUGGUUCUGCGGCCACUGAUAUUCCAAGGAAUCCAGCAUUUUCAAACUUGAAUGCUGAUGAUAUUAGCUAUUUCAGAACUAUACUUGGUGAAAGGAAUGUUGUUGAGGAUGAAGAUAGAUUAUCAGCUGCAAAUGUGGACUGGAUGCGGAAAUACCAAGGCUCAAGCAAGCUCUUACUCUUACCAAAAAGCAGCCAAGAGGUGUCUAAGAUUCUUCACCACUGCAAUUCAAGAAAAUUGGCAGUUGUCCCCCAAGGAGGCAACACAGGUCUUGUAGGAGGAAGUGUACCUGUUCACGAUGAGGUAAUUAUAAAUCUUGCAUUGAUGGACAAGAUAGUCUCCCUCGACAAGAUCAAUGGUAUUCUUGUUUGUGAAGGGGGAUGCAUACUGGAGAAUCUAAGCUCAUUCUUAGAAAAUGAAGGAUUUAUUAUGCCACUUGACUUGGGGGCAAAAGGAAGCUGCCAAAUUGGUGGAAACAUCUCAACCAAUGCCGGUGGCUUACGCUUUGUACGUUAUGGGUCACUUCAUGGAACUAUUCUUGGCCUUGAAGUUGUAUUAGCUAAUGGAACUAUUCUUGACAUGCUUGGCACUUUACGCAAGGACAAUACUGGAUAUGAUUUGAAACACUUGUUUAUUGGAAGUGAAGGUUCUCUAGGGAUUGUGACCAAGGUUUCUAUUCUUACACCACCCAAGCUAAUGUCAAUGAAUCUUGCAUUUCUUGCUUGUAAAGAUUUUACAAGUUGUCAGAAAUUACUACUGGAAGCUAAGCGAGCACUGGGCGGGGUUCUUUCUGCAUUUGAAUUUAUGGAUAGCCAUUCAAUGGAUUUGGUUCUGUCUCACUUGGAUGGUGUUCGCAGUCCUUUACCAUCCUCCUUGUAUAACUUCUAUAUUCUUGUUGAGACAACUGGUAGUGAUGAAACAUAUGAUAAAACAAAACUUGAAGCUUUUUUGUUACGAUCAAUGGAAGAAGGUCUCAUACUAGAUGGUGUUGUAGCUCAAGAUAUUAACCAAUCAUCCUCAUUUUGGCGAAUUCGUGAGGGUAUAUCAGAAGCAUCAGUUAAGGUUGGGGCUGUCUACAAAUAUGACUUAUCAUUACCCAUUGACCAAUUCUAUGGUAUCGUCGAAGAAAUGCGCAACAGGCUUGGUGAGGCGGCCAAGGUAGUUGGAUACGGUCACCUUGGGGAUGGUAACUUGCACUUGAAUAUCAUGACAACUCGAUAUGAUAGUGAUAUCCUUGCUCAAAUUGAACCUUACGUGUAUGAGUGGACCUCAAAACACAAGGGAAGUAUCAGUGCUGAGCAUGGAUUAGGGUUAAUGAAAGCAAAUAAGAUCCAUUACAGCAAGUCUCCAGAGACUGUGCAACUAAUGGUUGAUAUCAAGAAAAUGUUAGAUCCCAAUCUAAUAUUAAACCCAUACAAAGUUCUACCUCAGUCAUGCUUCAAUUGAACAGUGGUAUGGUACUUAAAAGGCAAAAUGUGUCCAGUGAAAUCAAUCAGAUCUUGAGGUGUAGAUUAUGUUUGUUCACUUGUUACCAGAAGACUUACAUAAAUGAAAAUAUUAGAUCUCUUUGCAAUUUUCAAUUAGUGGUGCCCCCAAGAGCAACAAAGCAUCAAAAUCAUAAAGGUGGUGGUCAUCGAUCAACUUCAAAGAGCAAAGGAAGCAUGAAACUGUGAGUUACAAUGAAGUUGUAAAACAUCUAGCUAUUCCUUUAAAUCAUUAAACUGAAUUUUUACUUUUCCAUUGCGUAUGACACCAAUAAAUUAAUCUCAAUUAUUUUACUUCAA